UACGUAGGGUGCAAGCGUUAAUCGGAAUUACUGGGCGUAAAGCGUGCGCAGGCGGUUUUGUAAGUCUGUCGUGAAAGCCCCGGGCUCAACCUGGGAAUUGCAUUGGAGACUGCAAGGCUAGAAUCUGGCAGAGGGGGGUAGAAUUCCACGUGUAGCAGUGAAAUGCUUAGAGAUGUGGAGGAACACCGAUGGCGAAGGCAGCCCCCUGGGUCAAGAUUGACGCUCAUGCACGAAAGCGUGGGGAGCAAACAGG
rnacentral:rRNA from 1 species